rnacentral:rRNA from 1 species
GAUGAACGCUGGCGGCGUGCUUAACACAUGCAAGUCGAACGAUGAAGCCCAGCUUGCUGGGUGGAUUAGUGGCGAACGGGUGAGUAACACGUGAGUAACCUGCCCUUAACUCUGGGAUAAGCCUGGGAAACUGGGUCUAAUACCGGAUAGGAGCGUCCACCGCAUGGUGGGUGUUGGAAAGAUUUAUCGGUUUUGGAUGGACUCGCGGCCUAUCAGCUUGUUGGUGAGGUAAUGGCUCACCAAGGCGACGACGGGUAGCCGGCCUGAGAGGGUGACCGGCCACACUGGGACUGAGACACGGCCCAGACUCCUACGGGAGGCAGCAGUGGGGAAUAUUGCACAAUGGGCGCAAGCCUGAUGCAGCGACGCCGCGUGAGGGAUGACGGCCUUCGGGUUGUAAACCUCUUUCAGUAGGGAAGAAGCGAAAGUGACGGUACCUGCAGAAGAAGCAUCGGCUAACUACGUG